rnacentral:other from 1 species
AUCUCUGAGGUGUUCGAGGUAGGGUUAGUCCCCUGAGCCGAUAUUCUAAACUAAAGAACGAUGUAAUUGUUAGCUGGUGUGUAUGCCUUCUUGUAAGGAAACCUAAAAGCUAAUGUGCUAUGUUCACCUUGAACCUUGGGUUCAAGGGUUACAACCUGAAACGGCAUCUUGGAGAUU